rnacentral:rRNA from 1 species
AUUGAACGCUGGCGGCAGGCUUAACACAUGCAAGUCGAGCGAGCGGCGGACGGGUGAGUAAUGUCUGUGAACCUGCCUGAUGGCUGGGGAUAACUACUGGAAACGGUAGCUAAUACCGCAUACCAUCGGAUGUGCCCAGAUGGGAUUAGCUCGUAGGUGGGGUAAUGGCUCACCUAGGCGAAGAUCCCUAGCUGGUCUGAGAGGAUGACCAGCCACACUGUAACUGAGACACGGUCCAGACUCCUACGGGAGGCAGCAGUGGGGAAUAUUGCACAAUGGGCGAAAGCCGGAUGCAGCCAUGCCGCGUGUGUGAAGAAGUCCUUCGGGUUGUAAAGUACUUUCAGCGAGGAGGCGUUACUCGCAGAAGAAGCACCGGCUAACUCCGUGCCAGCAGCCGCGGUAAUAC